GGUAGAGUGGGUGAGCGGCUUAAACCACCAGUUUGCUAAACUGACGUACUGGUAACGGUACCGAGGGUUCGAAUCCCUCCUCCACCGCC
rnacentral:tRNA from 1 species